ACUAAUUCACCACAUUGAAAACACCGGUUCUCGUCCGAUCACCGAAAUUAAGCAAUGUCGGACACGGUCAGUACUUGGGAGGGUGACCACCUAGGAACACCGGGUGCUGUAGGCU
rnacentral:rRNA from 1 species